CAUAAAUAACUACCAUAAGGGAGACACAAUCCAAUACACAAAUCAUCUAUGGAUAGCCCUGCCAAGCCUUACCCAACCCCAGGAGAGGAGUACGAAAAACUCUAGGAGUCCCGAUCCUACAAUCCUGAUACUAGACUCCAGACUUUCCUAUCAAGGGCCAUGUCCUCGGAAACCCGCAUUCUAGCCAUGUCAUACCUAAUCACCUAUCCCCAAUACCUCUUAGGCCUCCCUCUGCCUCUCCGUACGCCGACUAUCGCCA
rnacentral:lncRNA from 1 species